UCUCGAUUGGUCUAGUGGUAAGGAUACCUGCUUGUCACUUAAUGGUCUCGAAUCCGCGGUCGUGGGUCAGAGUUCAUGAAAUAGUAAAUCGCAGGUGGCCGGGGUUCGAUUCCCCGAUCGAGAG